rnacentral:rRNA from 1 species
UACGUAGGGGGCAAGCGUUAUCCGGAUUUACUGGGUGUAAAGGGAGCGUAGACGGUCUGGCAAGUCUGGUGUGAAAGGCUGGGGCUCAACCCCGGGACUGCAUUGGAAACUGUCAGACUUGAGUGCCGGAGAGGUAAGCGGAAUUCCUGGUGUAGCGGUGAAAUGCGUAGAUAUCAGGAGGAACACCAGUGGCGAAGGCGGCUUACUGGACGGUAACUGACGUUGAGGCUCGAAGGCGUGGGGAGCAA